rnacentral:rRNA from 1 species
UGAGGAAUAUUGGUCAAUGGACAGAAGUCUGAACCAGCCAAGUCGCGUGAAGGAAGGCGGCCCUAAGGGUUGUAAACUUCUUUUGUAAGGGAAUAAAGGCCGGUACGCGUUACCGGUUUGCAGGUACCUUACGAAUAAGGAUCGGCUAACUCCGUGCCAGCAGCCGCGGUAAUACGGAGGAUCCGAGCGUUAUCCGGAUUUAUUGGGUUUAAAGGGUGCGUAGGCGGAUUGAUAAGUCAGCGGUGAAAUUUUGCAGCUUAACUGUAAAAUUGCCGUUGAAACUGAUGGUCUUGAGGAUAGUUGAGGUAAGUGGAAUGUGUUGUGUAGCGGUGAAAUGCAUAGAUAUAACACAGAACACCGAUUGCGAAGGCAGCUUACUAGACUAUAACUGACGCUGAGGUACGAAAGCGUGGGGAUCAAACAGG